GACGAACGCUGGCGGCGUGCCUAAUACAUGCAAGUUGAGCGCUGAAGGUUGGUGCUUGUACCAACUGGAUGAGCAGCGAACGGGUGAGUAACGCGUGGGGAAUCUGCCUUUGAGCGGGGGACAACCUUUGGAAACGAAUGCUAAUACCGCAUAAAAACUUUAAACACAAGCUUUCAGUUUGAAAGAUGCAAUUGCCUCACUCAAACAUGAUCCCGCGUUGUAUUGGCUAGCUGGGGGGGGAAAGGCUCACCAAGGCGAGGAUACGUAGCCGGCCCGAGAGGGUGGUCGGCCACAGUGGGACUGAGACGCGGCCCAAACUCCUACGGGAGGCAGCAGUAGGGAAGCUUCGGCAAUGGAGGAAAGGCGGACCGAGCAACGCCGCGUGAGUGAAGAAGGUUUUCGGAUCGUAAAACUCUGUUGGUAGAGAAGAACGUUGGUGAGAGUGGAAAGCGCAUCAAGUGACGGUAACGACCCAGAAAGGGACGGCUAACUACGUG
rnacentral:rRNA from 1 species